UACGAAGGGGGCUAGCGUUGCUCGGAAUUACUGGGCGUAAAGAGCUCGUAGGCGGUUUGUUGCGUCGGCUGUGAAAUCCCGAGGCUCAACCUCGGGUCUGCAGUCGAUACGAGCAAACUAGAGUGUUGCAGGGGAGACUGGAAUUCCUGGUGUAGCGGUGAAAUGCGCAGAUAUCAGGAGGAACACCGGUGGCGAAGGCGGGUCUCUGG
rnacentral:rRNA from 1 species